GGGGGCCGAGGCACUGUCCGAGA
rnacentral:miRNA from 8 species